rfam:Campylobacter rectus RM3267 contig00062, whole genome shotgun sequence.
GACCCUUUCGUCUAGUGGCCCAGGACUCUACUCUCUCAGUGUAGCAACAGAGGUUCAAAUCCUUUAAGGGUCG